AGUGGCAGCCACCCCAGGACCUGAGAGCUGGGGCAGGAUGCACACCCCAGUGCCCCGAGUCUCAGUCUUUCAGCUGCCUUGGCCUCCAUCUCUGAGCUGCUCCCCUGACAAGGGGGAUCCACCAUAGGGCACCUGGGCUGAGUUCCAGGGAAAACUGGCGGGGGAUAGCCUGGGCCUCUUGGACCAAGUUCAGGCCUGCUUUGGGACUGUCCUAGCAUCCCACUGGAUGUGUAGGAUACACUUGCUGGGAGAAUCCUUCAAUCGAAUUAAAGAAUUAGGUCUAGAAAUCCUCAAACCCAACCAAAGAAAUCUGGAAAUCCUCAAAUUCAACCACAAAAUCCUAGAUCUGGCAGAGCCUUCAAGGAAUCUUCCAGUCCAGUCUCUGCCCCAGGAGGGUGAACACCUCAGCCAUCCAUGACAGCUGUUUUUCCUCCAGGCCUUUAAAAAGGCCAACUCAGCCUUCACUCCUACUCAACACCUCAACUUCAUUUCUCAUUCCCCACCCAGGAAGAACCUGUAUGCCCCCUGCAUCCCACUGCACUUCCGGAUGCCUUUUCCCCCAAGACUGGAAUGGCCUCAGGUCCCCAUCUCCAGGUGAGUGGCCCUCACCUACAGACUCAACAUGUGGCCUUUGGCUCUUCCCACUUCCAAGAGUCUUGGAAGGGAUGGGUCAAGCAAGCAGAGGAAAGGAAGAUGUGAGUUCCCCAAAUGCUCCUCACCUUUUUCUUCUGAGUGGGCUCCUUCUCACUGGCAUUGGAGGGCUUGCGGCGCAGCAUGGUCCUCCACCCUGGGAGACUCCGUCCCUGCUCUCCUAGGUGUCAAGAUGCAGAGGCCUCUUGCUUAGCCUCGCCAGAACUGCCCGGGGGCACGGCAUGAACCGAGCCUUCAGCUGCCACUCUGCCUGCUGCAGUGGCAGCUUGGGGGUGCGGGCCAUGGACACCGGGCGGCAGCAGCAUACAGGAAGCCCUGCCACGUGACCUACUCUUACAGCAAUCGCAGCCCCUGCCGGCCCCUAGGGAGGAAGGAAGUCCAAGCUUCAGUCUCCAGAGAUUCUGAUGCAGACGGCUCUUGGGUUGAACAGUCAGAGAAAGUCCCUACCAUGUUGUCUCAUGUCGAUCAUCAUCAGUCCUUCUGCUCCAUCUUCCUAGAGGUGGACAAUCAGCUCGACAUUAUAUGGCGUACUCAAGCCCUUUAUCUCACUGACCAGAAUCCAGAAACCAGAAGUUGGACCAUCUGGCUGCCUGUUGGAUCAAUGCUCCUGGUCAACUCACAUCUUCAAGGUCAUCACUGCCAUCACUACCACUACCAUCACCCCUGUGACCAUCACCACUGCUACCAUCACUCCUAUCAAUAGCCAUCACCAUACAGCCAUCACCCCUACAUCCAUCAGGCCUGCAGCCAUCCCUGCUGCCAUCAGCACACCUAUAGCCAUCGUCACUACGGUAAUCACCUCUACAGUUGAUAUCCUUCAGCCAUCACCUCUACAGUCACCACCAUUGCUGCUAUCACCCUUCCAGCCAUCAUCCUCAUAGCCUUCACCCUUCUGGACAUUACAGCCAACCACACCCAUGACCCUCUCACCCCUAUAACCAUCAUCCCUACAGUCAUUGCUCCUACAACCAUCAUCACAUCCGUGCAGCCAUCAGCCCUGCAACCAUCACUCCUACAGCCAUCAGCACACCUAAGGCCAUCAUCACUAGAGCAGUCACCCCUCCAGUCAGUACCCCUCAGCCAUCAUAUUUAUCACCACCACAGCUGAAAACACUUGCAGCCAACUCCACGCCUCUAGCAAGUAUCCAACAGGCAUUUAUCAAACACCUAUGCAGUAUAUUCAAUUUGUGGGUUAUCUGUGGCAGCUUUUAAUAACCUUAAUAACUUCUUGUUGUUACAAAAGCAAUUUGUAUUUGUCAUACAAUUUCACAAACACAUAAACAAAAAAAAUUUCAAAAUUUCCCAUCAUUGUCCUCUACACUGUUUUAAGCAUCUAUCUACUCUCUGUCUAUACACAUUUUUUUUCUUUUUACAAAAAUCAUACUGCUCAGAAAACAGAUAAUUGGUUUGGGGAGAAGGGGAGGGGAGAGAAGGGAAGGGAGAGAUCACACAGGGUAACAGGAAGCUUUUAGGAAUGGUGAAUAUGUUCACUAUCUUGAUUGUGGUGAUGAUUUCAUGGGGGAAUACACAUGUCAAAAUGUAUCAAAUUGUAUACUUCAAAUAUGUGCAGUUUAUUGUAGCUCCAUUAUACCUCAAUAAAGCUGUUUAAAAUUUUUUAAUUAAAAA